UUGCAUUUUCAAUAAGCGGAGGAAAAGAAACCAACCGGGAUUGCCUUAGUAACGGCGAGUGAAGCGGCAAAAGCUCAAAUUUGAAAUCUGGUACCUUCGGUGCCCGAGUUGUAAUUUGGAGAGGGCAACUUUGGGGCCGUUCCUUGUCUAUGUUCCUUGGAACAGGACGUCAUAGAGGGUGAGAAUCCCGUGUGGCGAGGAGUGCGGUUCUUUGUAAAGUGCCUUCGAAGAGUCGAGUUGUUUGGGAAUGCAGCUCUAAGUGGGUGGUAAAUUCCAUCUAAAGCUAAAUAUUGGCGAGAGACCGAUAGCGAACAAGUACAGUGAUGGAAAGAUGAAAAGAACUUUGAAAAGAGAGUGAAAAAGUACGUGAAAUUGUUGAAAGGGAAGGGCAUUUGAUCAGACAUGGUGUUUUGUGCCCUCUGCUCCUUGUGGGUAGGGGAAUCUCGCAUUUCACUGGGCCAGCAUCAGUUUUGGUGGCAGGAUAAAUCCAUAGGAAUGUAGCUUGCCUCGGUAAGUAUUAUAGCCUGUGGGAAUACUGCCAGCUGGGACUGAGGACUGCGACGUAAGUCAAGGAUGCUGGCAUAAUGGUUAUAUGCCGCCCGUCUUGAACCCGGGACCA
rnacentral:rRNA from 1 species